GUCCCUGCAGCGCAAUGGAUAGCGAGUUGGACCUUUAAUCCGAAGAUUGUGGGCUGAAUCCCACCUGGGAUG